rnacentral:tRNA from 1 species
AGAAAGCUAGUCUAAUAAAGACAGUUGGUUUCGACCCAGCAGAUUAUAGUACACACCCUAUAGCUUUCUU